GACGAACCGUGCGAACGUUGUUCGGAAUCACUGGGCUUAAAGGGCGCGUAGGCGGCUCUCUUGGUCGUGGGUGAAAUCCCCCGGCUUAACCAGGGAACUGCGUCUGAUACUGGAUGGCUUGAGUUUGGGAGAGGGAUGCGGAAUUCCAGGUGUAGCGGUGAAAUGCGUAGAUAUCUGGAGGAACACCGGUGGCGAAGGCGACAUCCUGGACCAACACUGACGCUGAGUGAGCGAAAGCCAGGGGAGCAAACGGG
rnacentral:rRNA from 1 species